GCCCGGCCCCGCGCGCACCCGGCCCCCGGUGGGCGCCCUGAGGAGGGGGCGGCCGGAGCCCGAGCCUUCGCCACGUGGGCGGCGGCGCUUCCCGGCCUGGGCUGGUUUCGGCCGGCCGGAGGACCCUCCCGCUCCCGGGGCGCCCUGCCCUGCGUGCCCACCUCCAGCGCCACCCUGCCCCAGCGGCCCUUCCUCCAGCUGCCCUUCGGGGUCUCCUGUUGCCCGCAGUGGGGGAGGGAGCCCUCCGUCUUCUCCCUGGGCGAGCGCUCGCGAUCCGUGGGCUGGGAGCAGGCUGGACCGCAGCCGGUGCAUCCGCCCCCUCCCCCCCUCGAGCGUACCCCGGCCUGGGUUCCUGUCUCAGGUCCCAGACUUCUCUUUUGUGCAGUUGAAUACUCCUCCUGUGUCGCUGGCCAUCCUUGGCAUCCCUUGCUGUGGACACAUGGCCCCAGUGUGCGUCCACGAUCAUGCGGCUUCUCCCAUGUCUCUGUCCGUGAGGAUUCGUGGCUGCUCCGCUCCAGGGUGACCUCAGUGUAACUGAUUGCAUCUGCCCAGACCCUCUUUCCAAGCAGGACAACCAGAACUAUCCGUGGACAGAGUCCCUGGCAGCACGGGGGCCGCCGCUGAGAACCGCCGCCGUUCCACGCCCACCCGUGUGUGGCUGGUGCCGGUGGCGCGCGGACGAUGGUCAUCCUCGGAACCCACCAACUCUGCUCCGUGCGGCAAUCCCUCUGGUAGAGUUCUGGGGUGACGUGGAAGCAGGCGGCGUGCUGAGAGGUGGCACAGGCCCUGAGCCGCCUUCACAAGCCCGGGUGUCGGCGCCUGGGCUGCAUGUGUCCAUUCUGUGUGUUUUAAAACCUUCUGUGAUAAAAAAAAUAUAUACAUA